CAACAGAAUUUUCUCCAUAUCCAGCUCCCGAGACCUAUGUUAAGGGUGAAGCAGAAUUUUGAAAGAAUGAAACAACGAUAGUUUGGGUACUGUUCAGUUGUUGUUGAGAUGCGUAUGAAAAUCAAGUUGUUCUAGCAGAAAAGAAGCCUGAAGAAACACAUCGGGAUUUCCUGACUAUUGAUCAAGGACAGGAUAUUAGAGAAGAAGUUCUGACUUAUUUUCAGAACAGUACCAACAAUUCUGAAAAUUCCUAUGGUCGCAGACGGAUGGGCUCGAUCUUAUCAGCUACUGGUUCAGUUUUGCACCCGAAUUCGAAUGAGGGUUCAUAUAAAAUAAAUUAUCUUUUGGGAAGAUUUAUUAUAUUUGAAGAUGGUCAAGUGCAGCAACAUGAAUCAUGGACAAUAUCCUGUGUUGGUUCAUCUUGUCUUGUUAUUACAGAUGAAGUUAAUGGUCGUUUGAUUGCAGCAGAGCCAGUCCAGGUUAUAGUUGGUACUUUUCCUAUGAAUUCAAGUACAUGAAGUGAAAAAUUGAAGAGUUGCAAGCACAUCUAGUUUGCCAGUAAUGUUUCUCCAUCAGCAUUUGUGCUUCAUUUCCAUAAAAAAGAAAUGGAUGACAUGUAGCCUAUAUUUUA